GAAACCCAAAAUAAAGUGCAUGCCAAAUCGUGCAGAUAAACUUCUUUGUCGACGUGGGAGGAGCAAGGAUCCACAGGUGGUGAUGGACGUAGAUAAUGUAGACCCAAUCAUGAUCAUCGGCGAGGACAUGACUGAUGCCAACAAGAAGCUAAUUGACGCCAAUUUCUUCAACAAUUUCGAUGAAAUGGGUUAGGAUUUGAGGAUAGGUAGGUGGUUUGCAUAAGCCAUGGGAGUGAAACUAUGCAAUUGCCUAUUUUGAAGUGGUGGCUAGAGCCAAGAAGGGCAGUUGCAAUAGUGGAGAAUCGGG
rnacentral:misc_RNA from 1 species